GAGUGCGAUCAUACCAGCACUAAUGCCCCGGAUCCCAUCAGAACUCUGCAGUUAAGCGUGCCUGGGCGAGAGUAGUACUAGGAUGGGUGACCUCCUGGGAAGUCCUCGUGUUGCACCCC
rnacentral:rRNA from 1 species